rnacentral:rRNA from 1 species
UGAGGAAUAUUGGUCAAUGGGCGGAAGCCUGAACCAGCCAAGUAGCGUGAGGGAUGACUGCCCUAUGGGUUGUAAACCUCUUUUAUAAGGGAAUAAAAUACGGGACGUGUCCUGUUUUGCAUGUACCUUAUGAAUAAGGACCGGCUAAUUCCGUGCCAGCAGCCGCGGUAAUACGUAGGUGGCGAGCGUUGUCCGGAAUUAUUGGGCGUAAAGGGAGCGCAGGCGGGAGAUCAAGUCUAUCUUAAAAGUGCGGGGCUCAACCCCGUGAGGGGAUGGAAACUGGUCUUCUUGAGUGCAGGAGAGGAAAGCGGAAUUCCUAGUGUAGCGGUGAAAUGCGUAGAUAUUAGGAGGAACACCAGUGGCGAAGGUGGCUUUCUGGACUGUAACUGACGCUGAGGCUCGAAAGCGUGGGGAGCGAACAGGAUUAGAUACCCUGGUAGU